rnacentral:rRNA from 1 species
UCGGUUGAUCCUGCCGGAGGUUACUGCUAUCGGAGUUCGAUUAAGCCAUGCGAGUCUAAAGGUUUCUUCGGAAACCUUGGCGGACUGCUCAGUAACACGUGGAUAACCUACCCUUGGGACUGGAAUAACCCCGGGAAACUGGGGAUAAUACCGGAUAGAUCAGGGAUGCUGGAAUGCACCUUGAUCCAAAGCUCCGGCGCCCAAGGAUGGGUCUGCGGCCUAUCAGGUAGUAGUGGGUGUAACGUACCUACUAGCCAACGACGGGUACGGGUUGUGAGAGCAAGAGCCCGGAGAUGGAUUCUGAGACACGAAUCCAGGCCCUACGGGGUGCAGCAGGCGCGAAACCUUUACAAUGUGCGAAAGCAUGAUAAGGGAACUCCGAGUGCCAGCAUCUAAUGUUGGCUGUCCUUGUGCCUAAAACGCACAAGAUAGCAAGGGCCGGGUAAGACCGGUGCCAGCCGCCGCGGUAACACCGGCGGCCCGAGUGGUAGCCGCUAUUAUUGGGUCUAAAGGGUCCGUAGCCGGUUCGAUAAGUCCUCUGGGAAAUCUGGUUGCUUAACAAUCAGACUGCCAAGGGAUACUGUCGAACUUGAGACCGGGAGAGGUAAGAGGUACUUCAGGGGUAGGAGUGAAAUCUUGUAAUCCCUGGGGGACCAUCUGUGGCGAAGGCGUCUUACCAGAACGGGUCUGACGGUGAGGGACGAAAGCUGGGGGCGCAAACCGGAUUAGAUACCCGGGUAGUCCCAGCCGUAAACGAUGCUCGCUAUGUGUCAGGUACGGUGUGACCGUAUCUGGUGCCGCAGGGAANCCGUGAANCGAGCCACCUGGNAAGUACNNCNGCAAG